ACAGCACUCAUUGAGGAAGGCAAGAGCAACAAGGUGAAUGGCAGCUGCCUUUGAUCCAGAAGCAAUGGAGGCCUGUUACUGAACACACUGUCUCCGUUUCUGUCGCCUCCCUUCCUUGGCAUAAAUGUCUCAUCCUCUGUGUGGACCUGGUCCAGGACUGUUACCAGUGCUGACCGUACUGGUCCAGUGCCCUUUAGCGUCAUCUUAGAAUUCCCAUCUGAAGGACGGUUACUACUGGUUGCUGACCAGCAAAUGGAUGACUUGCCCUGGAGGUAUGGACUUCAUCCCAGAAGGAGGUGAACAAAAAGGGGCAGGAUAUGGGAAGAGAAAUUGAGCCUCUGUUUCUCCAUCUAAAAAUAAGUGACAAAAUCAGUAUCAUUUUUACUGUGAAUAUCACUAUUUUGACAUACUGGUUUAAACUGAAGGAGGUUAAUGUGGUUGUUAAAAAAAUUUGAGUACUUUAAACAGAUAAUGAAAAACAAACUAUUCAACUAAACCAACGCGUAAGUCAGGACAGUGGUUACCUUUGAGAGAUCAGCAGUGAUGUGAGGGAUUUUCAGUGAGUUUCUGAGCUGUUGGCAACCGUGUGCUUCCAUUUGGGGCUUGCUACCAUAUAUGAAAUAUGGCAUAAAUGUCAAACAUAAAUAAGUGGAA